rnacentral:rRNA from 1 species
GACGAACGCUGGCGGCGUGCUUAACACAUGCAAGUCGAGCGAGGCCCACCUUUCGGGGUGGUGUCCUAGCGGCGAACGGGUGAGUAACACGUGGGCAACCUGCCCCCGGCUCGGGGAUAACCCCAAGAAAUUGGGGCUAAUACCGGAUACGACCGCUGACCGCAUGGUCUGGUGGUGGAAAGAUUUAUCGGCUGGGGAUGGGCCCGCGGCCUAUCAGCUUGUUGGUGGGGUAAUGGCCUACCAAGGCGACGACGGGUAGCCGGCCUGAGAGGGUGACCGGCCACACUGGGACUGAGACACGGCCCAGACUCCUACGGGAGGCAGCAGUGGGGAAUAUUGCGCAAUGGGCGAAAGCCUGACGCAGCGACGCCGCGUGGGGGAUGACGGCCUUCGGGUUGUAAACCUCUUUCAGCAGGGACGAAGCCCGCAAGGGUGACGGUACCUGCAGAGGAAGCACCGGCCAACUACGUGCCAGCAGCCGCGGUAA